rnacentral:rRNA from 1 species
AUUUUUGUUUUUUUAAAGAAGAAGAGUGGCGAACCGUAUCGGCAGUAUCGGUGGCGCACGGCGGUGCCAUGGGUAGGUGGGGCAGCUGCCUAGGUCUUGGGCGGCGCCGUGGUUGGUGAUGGCGUUGAAGUUUCAGCCCGUGCUGCUCGGUGGCAGUGGUGGCCUCGGCUGUGUGGUGAACUCUCUAGGUUCCUCGAGGCAGUGUUGCGGGGCUGCACCGCUCUACGCCGGCAAUAGCGGUCUACGACGGCGUCACGAAUGAAGAUGCUUGAUUAUGUGCUUCAGAAUGAAGAUGCAUGAUUAUGUGCUUCAGGAGCUGCUAGUCGUACCAUAGAAGCAAUUAAUGAACCUCUUCUCGCUAUUUUAAUUUCAAGUGCAAUAAUCUGCUGGAGGUGUUUUCCAUUCAGACAAGUGAAGUUUUGCACCCUGCAAAUGUGCAGAUGUAUUCUGGAAGAAGAAAAGCAUACCCAGUAAGAUGCAAUCCUUGCCAUCUUACUGAGCAAGUUCAUUCAUAUUAUUUUUAGGUCCUCCUUGACAAUGUAUUUGAUCAAUUGUCUAAAGAAUUCCUGGAUUGUCAGAGUAAAAUAAAGUACGUUCAGAAUACUGUUCUUGAUUCAGUAAAAACAAUUACCUAGUUUAACCCGAGCUAUUGUGUUGAAGAACAU